rnacentral:rRNA from 1 species
AUUGAACGCUGGCGGAAUGCUUUACACAUGCAAGUCGAACGGCAGCACGGACUUCGGUCUGGUGGCGAGUGGCGAACGGGUGAGUAAUGUAUCGGAACGUGCACAGUCGUGGGGGAUAACGUAGGGAAAAUUACGCUAAUACAGCAUACGAUCUAUGGAUGAAAGCGGGGGACCGCAAGACCUUGCGCGAUUGGAGCGGCAGAUAUCAGAUUAGGUAGUUGGUGGGGUAAAGGCCCACCAAGCCAACGAUCUGUAGCUGGUCUGAGAGGACGACCAGCCACACUGGAACUGAGACACGGUCCAGACUCCUACGGGAGGCAGCAGUGGGGAAUUUUGGACAAUGGGCGAAAGCCUGAUCCAGCCAUUCCGCGUGCAGGAUGAAGGCCCUCGGGUUGUAAACUGCUUUUGUACAGAACGAAAAGGUUUCUACUAAUACUAGGAGCUCAUGACGGUACUGAAAGAAUAAGCACCGGCUAACUACGUGCCAGCCGCCGCAGUAA